rnacentral:rRNA from 1 species
GGGAUAACAGUUGGAAACGGCUGCUAAUACCGCAUAAGCGCACGGCAUCGCAUGAUGCAGUGUGAAAAACUCCGGUGGUAUAAGAUGGACCCGCGUUGGAUUAGCUAGUUGGUGAGGUAACGGCCCACCAAGGCGACGAUCCAUAGCCGACCUGAGAGGGUGACCGGCCACAUUGGGACUGAGACACGGCCCAAACUCCUACGGGAGGCAGCAGUGGGGAAUAUUGCACAAUGGGCGAAAGCCUGAUGCAGCGACGCCGCGUGAGCGAAGAAGUAUUUCGGUAUGUAAAGCUCUAUCAGCAGGGAAGAUAAUGACGGUACCUGACUAAGAAGCACCGGCUAAAUACGUGCCAGCAGCCGCGGUAAUACGUAUGGUGCAAGCGUUAUCCGGAUUUACUGGGUGUAAAGGGAGCGCAGGCGGUGCGGCAAGUCUGAUGUGAAAGCCCGGGGCUCAACCCCGGUACUGCAUUGGAAACUGUCGUACUAGAGUGUCGGAGGGGUAAGCGGAAUUCCUAGUGUAGCGGUGAAAUGCGUAGAUAUUAGGAGGAACACCAGUGGCGAAGGCGGCUUACUGGACGAUAACUGACGCUGAGGCUCGAAAGCGUGGAGAGCAAACAGGAUUAGAUACCCUGGUAGUCCACGCCGUAAACGAUGAAUAGGAGGUGUUGGGAAGCAUUGCUUCUCGGUGCCGCCA